CCGACGGUGAGGGGUGAAAGCUGGGGGAGCAAACCGGAUUAGAUACCCGGGUAGUCCCAGCCGUAAACGAUGUGCGUUAGGUGUAUCGGUGACCACGAGUCACCGAGGUGCCGAAGAGAAAUCGUGAAACGUACCGCUUGGGAAGUACGGUCGCAAGGCUGAAACUUAAAGGAAUUGGCGGGGGAGCACCACAACAGGUGGAGCCUGCGGUUUAAUCGGACUCAACGCCGGGAAACUCACCAGAUAAGACAGCUGAAUGAUAGUCGGGCUGAAGACUCUACUUGACUAGCUGAGAGGAGGUGCAUGGCCGUCGUCAGUUCGUACUGUGAAGCAUCCUGUUAAGUC
rnacentral:rRNA from 1 species